UGGGGAAUAUUGGACAAUGGGCGAAAGCCUGAUCCAGCCAUGCCGCGUGUGUGAAGAAGGUCUUCGGAUUGUAAAGCACUUUAAGUUGGGAGGAAGGGCAGUAAGCGAAUACCUUGCUGUUUUGACGUUACCGACAGAAUAAGCACCGGCUAACUCUGUGCCAGCAGCCGCGGUAAUACAGAGGGUGCAAGCGUUAAUCGGAAUUACUGGGCGUAAAGCGCGCGUAGGCGGCUAAUUGAGUCGGAUGUGAAAUCCCCGAGCUUAACUUGGGAAUUGCAUUCGAUACUGGUUAGCUAGAGUGUGGGAGAGGAUGGUAGAAUUCCAGGUGUAGCGGAGAAAUGCGUAGAGAUCUGGAGGAAUACCGAUGGCGAAGGCAGCCAUCUGGCCUAACACUGACGCUGAGGUACGAAAGCAUGGGGAGCAAACAGG
rnacentral:rRNA from 1 species